rnacentral:rRNA from 1 species
UACGGAGGGUGCAAGCGUUAAUCGGAAUUACUGGGCGUAAAGCGCGCGCAGGCGGCCUCGCGCGCCCGACGUGAAAGCCCCCGGCUUAACCGGGGAGGGUCGUUGGGGACGGCGGGGCUUGAGGGCGGGAGAGGGCGGUGGAAUUCCCGGUGUAGUGGUGAAAUGCGUAGAGAUCGGGAGGAACACCUGUGGCGAAGGCGGCCGUCUGGGCCGACCCUGACGCUGAGGCGCGAAGGCGUGGGGAGCGAACGGG